CAGAAAGGGGGACCUGACCUGGGGACUGUCUCCAAGAUCAGUGCUCAUGUCCAAUGUCUUCCUCCAGCAAGGCUCCUCAAUGGCAUCCUCUAAGUUUUCUCUCUUUCAGGGUACAAAAAUGACUAGAUUGGCUAAGAGUUAUACCAGGUAAUACUGGAGUGUGUUUCCAUUGUAACACUUCAAACCUCAAUGUGAGACAGGUAACUAAAGUGGACACUCAUAGACAGGAUAAACCACGGCGGAGCAUUCAUAGGUGACGACAGCUAAGUCAGACGCUCUUUUUGAGUUUACCAUCUAGAUGGGGUCUGAAGGGUCGAGCCAUACCUGCUGCAUCUCCACACUAAGAAGCAGCCGGUGUAAGCAGACAUCAUUCUGAACCUUCUGUGGUACUAUGACAACCAAAAAAAACCCUCACCGACUCCUGUGGAUCACCAGCCAGCUACUUCUUAGACCUGGGAGAUUGCUUUGCUUUGGCACUGCCCAAAGAUGGCAAAGCAAAGGACUCAAGGAGAGCAUUGGAAGGAAGAGCCCAAACCCUGGCACUUCAAUUGCUGGUAGAACAUAGGAGCAUCAGGGGCAUUUGGCUGUGAGGAGGAUG
rnacentral:lncRNA from 1 species